CACUCACGGCAUAUGGAGGUCCCCAGGCUAGGGGUCGAAUCAGAGCUAAAGCUGCCAGCCUACAUCAUAGCCACAGCAACCUGGGAUCUGAGCUGUGUCUGUGACCUACACCACAGCUCACGGCAAUGCCAAAUCCUUAAUCCACCGAGCGAGGCCAGGGAUCAAAACCGCAACCUCAUGGAUCCUAGUCGGGUUCGUUAACCACUGAACCACGAAGGGAAUUCCUACUCAUCCUUUUCUUGAGGCACUCCAUUCAAUGUCUAUACUUCCCUCUCCCCAGGGGCCCAGGGCACAGUUCCCCAGUCUGUUCCUCCCUGAAGUUCCUGGAGCGCUGGAGAUGGGCUUGAUUUUUUGAAUGUUCUAGUACCUGGGAGGCUCUGAUAAAUGUGGAAUGAAUGGGCAACUGACUGAAUAAGUAAAUGACACCAUUCUCAAUUUGCUAACAAAAGUGACUCUUCUAUAGAGUCAUAGAAAGACAUUAAGGAUCAUUUUUCCCAGCCGAGUCCUACUUCUUACUAGCUGUGUGGCCUUGGGUAAGUGACUUAACCUCUCUGUGUCUCAGUGUCUUCAUCUGUGAAAACCCAACAGAAUGAUAGGAUGACCAUGAGCAUCAAAUGCUAGUGUAAAGAUACUUCAAGCCGUGCCUGGCACAGAGCCCGUGUUCAGUGAAGGUCAGAGUUUAUCACUGUCACUGCAGUGACACCAUGGACGCCUGGCCCAGAGGUCCACCCAUCCUGUCCCACCCCCACUCCGUCUCCACUGCAGCGAGGUUGGCAGUAAACAGCCUCACCUGCCCCCCUUCUUUAGAGAUGUGCCCUCAGAGGGUGCCCCUCUGGCUCCCCGGCGCCCCCGUGCGGCGGACAGUCAUCGCCUGGCUGACGUGGGCUACAAAGGCCAGCCUUGUCCCCAUGGUAGGACAGCCUGUGCUCCCAAGUUCCGUGGGAGCAGGCUGAGCUGGAAGCCAUCUGCGCAUGCUCAUCUCCUCACCCCCUUCUCUGAGGGCACUCCCCCCACCCCGAACUCCCUUAAACAAGGAUCUCCAUCCCAGGCUCUGAUUCUAGGGACCCAGAGCCUCACGAUUCGUCACCACCAUUGCCCCCAAAGAGGUGGCGACAGACGCCGAGUGGUGGCCUGACAGGUCCACCGCCCAGGUUAGGAACAGAACCAGUCGCAAUGACUGUCGCGCAAUGACCGAGAAUUAGACACUUUAGAGGAGCCCAGGCUUCUGAACCUCCAAGGAGUCUGUUAAGAAACAACUGAAUGAAUGAACUAACAAUCAGCUAGAAAAACAAGAAAAAGCCUGCGGUACCUGAGGUCGAUGCGGAAAGUCUCGGGCUGUGGGGCGGUGAGGAAGGACAGACCGCCUCGGGUGAAGCCAGGGAUCCUGGGAUGAGAGCUCAGGGGUCCAGGCCCAUAGGAGCCCUUUCCGGCCGGCACAGCAGGUAGGGGUGGAAACUGGGGGCCAGUCCACAGCCCUGCAUUGGCCUUGUCCUUACUGCCCAUCCCACCUCUGCAGACGUGCUUCCCCACCACCGCUCUCUGGAGCUCAUGAGC
rnacentral:lncRNA from 1 species